GAAAUGCGAUAAGUAAUGUGAAUUGCAGAUUUCAGUGAAUCAUCGAAUCUUUGAACGCACAUUGCGCCCGCCAGCACUCUGGCGGGCAUGCCUGUUCGAGCGUCAUUUCAACCCUCAGAACCCCUUGCGGGAUCUGGCGUUGGGGAUUGGCAUCCAGCCAGCCCCGAAAUCUAGUGGCGGUCCCUCCGCGACCUCCCCUGUGCAGUAGCGAUACCUCGCAGCGGGACAGCGGUCUGACCACGCCGUAAAACCCCCAACUUCUCAAGGUUGACCUCGAAUCAGGUAGGAAUACCCGCUGAACUUAAGC
rnacentral:misc_RNA from 1 species